AACGAACGUUAGCGGCGCGCUUAACACAUGCAAGUCGUGCGAGAAAGGGGAAACCCCGGUAAAGCGGCGCACGGGUGAGUAACACGUAGGUAAUCUACCCCCAGGUGGUGGAUAACCUUC
rnacentral:rRNA from 1 species